UACGUAGGGUGCAAGCGUUGUCCGGAAUUAUUGGGCGUAAAGAGCUCGUAGGCGGUUUGUCGCGUCUGCUGUGAAAACUCGGGGCUUAACCCCGGGUCUGCAGUGGAUACGGGCAGACUAGAGUCAGGUAGGGGAGAACGGAAUUCCUGGUGUAGCGGUGAAAUGCGCAGAUAUCAGGAGGAACACCGGUGGCGAAGGCGGUUCUCUGGGCCUGUACUGACGCUGAGGAACGAAAGCGUGGGGAGCGAACAGG
rnacentral:rRNA from 1 species